GGGGCUGUAGCUUAGCGGUAGAGUGCUUGCCUAGCAUGUGUGAGGCAAUGCGUUCGAUCCUCAGCCCCA
rnacentral:tRNA from 1 species